AGGAUUUUAAGUUAUUCUAAACUAGAAGCCUUCAAAGCUUCCAAUAAAUAUUAUUUUUAAAUCCUA
rnacentral:tRNA from 1 species